rnacentral:rRNA from 1 species
UACGUAGGGAGCAAGCGUUGUCCGGAAUUAUUGGGCGUAAAGGGUGCGUAGGCGGUUUACCAAGUCAGAUGUGAAAUCCCCGGGCUUAACUCGGGACGUGCAUUUGAAACUGGUAGACUUGAGUAAAGAAGAGGUAAGUGGAAUUCCUAGUGUAGCGGUGAAAUGCGUAGAUAUUAGGAGGAACACCAGUGGCGAAGGCGACUUACUGGUCUUUUACUGACGCUGAGGCACGAAAGCGUGGGGAGCAAACAGG